rnacentral:misc_RNA from 1 species
GUGAAUCAUCGAAUCUUUGAACGCAAAUUGCACUCUCCUCGGAGAGUAUGCCUGUUUGAGGGUCAGCCUAUAAAAAAUCAACAUCGUGGCGUUUUCGCGGUGGGUUCCGUCGGAAUUUGGGUCUUCUUAAAUCUUUUUGUUUUAGGCGACUUAAAAUUUUCUUUUGUUUCCAUAACGGUUUCUAAGUUCUUUUUCUUUACACGUUUAAGUUAUCGAUUUUUACUAGACUUAACCAUAAUAUCGGAUCC